AAUCUUCCACAAUGGCCGAAAGCCUGAUGCAGCAACGCCGCGUGAGUGAAGAAGGUUCUCGGAUCGUAAAACUCUGUUGUAAUGGAAGAACAAGUACAGCAGUAACUGGCUGUACCUUGACGGUCCCCUAUUAGUAAGCCACGGCUAACUCCUUUCCAGCAGCCGCGGUAAUACGUAGGUGGCAAGCGUUGUCCGGAAUUAUUGGGCGUAAAGCGCGCGCAGGCGGUCCUUUAAGUCUGAUGUGAAAGCCCACGGCUCAACCGUGGAGGGUCAUUGGAAACUGGGGGACUGGAGUGCAGAAGAGGAAAGUGGAAUUCCAAGUGUAGCGGUGAAAUGCGUAGAGAUUUGGAGGAACACCAGUGGCGAAGGCGACUUUCUGGUCUGUAACUGACGCUGAGGCGCGAAAGCGUGGGGAGCAAACAGG
rnacentral:rRNA from 1 species